rnacentral:tRNA from 1 species
UCCCUAGUGGCUCAGAGGUUAAAGUAUCUACCUGCAAUGUGGGAGACCCGGGUUCGAUCCCUGGGUCGGGAA